rnacentral:misc_RNA from 1 species
AAGUCGUAACAAGGUUUCCGUAGGUGAACCUGCGGAAGGAUCAUUAACACGUAUCCACGUAUCUACCUCUUGUGAACUUGUUUUUGUUAGUAGUUGUGUUAUGUACGACUGAGGAUGCAGAUGACCAUGUCGUUUCUUUGUCAUUUUCUAGGGGAAACCCUUUGAUUUUGAUGAAAAUGUUCUGCUUGCCUGUCCGCCCUUGCUGAGUGCUAGUGUAUCGAGAUUGACCCACCUACCUCCGAAGAAGUAGAUGAGGCAAUCCUAUUAGCCAUAACUCCAUGGGAUGGGUACAUGAUGUAACUCGAAUCAUGGUGGUAUUCACCUAUUAACCCUUUUUUCAAUAAUUGUCUUAGUGAGUGUCUCAGUGGUAAAAAGCUGAGCCUCCCCAAAAUUAACACUAUACAACUCUUAGCAACGGAUAUCUCGGUUCU